rnacentral:rRNA from 1 species
AUGAACGCUAGCGGCAGGCCUAACACAUGCCAGUCGCGGGAGAAGCCCUUUCGGGGGCAGAAACCGGCGCACGGGUGCGUAACGCGUAUGCAACCUACCUUUCACAGGGGGAUAGCCCGAAGAAAUUUGGAUUAAUACCCCAUAAUAUUAUUGGAUGGCAUCAUUUGAUAAUUAAAACUGCGGUGGUGAAAGAUGGGCAUGCGUCCUAUUAGCUAGUUGGAGUGGUAACGGCACCCCAAGGCUACGAUAGGUAGGGGUCCUGAGAGGGAGAUCCCCCACACUGGUACUGAGACAGGGACCAGACUCCUACGGGAGGCAGCAGUGAGGAAUAUUGGUCAAUGGUCGGAAGACUGAACCAGCCAUGCCGCGUGCAGGAAGAAUGCCUUAUGGGUUGUAAACUGCUUUUAUAUGGGAAGAAUAAGGCGUACGUGUACGUUGAUGACGGUACCAUAUGAAUAAGCAUCGGCUAACUCCGUG